AUUGAACGCUGGCGGCAGGCUUAACACAUGCAAGUCGAGCGGGGGAAGGUAGCUUGCUACCGGACCUAGCGACGGACGGGUGAGUAAUGCUUAGGAAUCUGCCUAUUAGUGGGGGACAACAUCUCGAAAGGGAUGCUAAUACCGCAUACGUCCUACGGGAGAAAGCAGGGGAUCUUCGGACCUUGCGCUAAUAGAUGAGCCUAAGUCGGAUUAGCUAGUUGGUGGGGUAAAGGCCUACCAAGGCGACGAUCUGUAGCGGGUCUGAGAGGAUGAUCCGCCACACUGGGACUGAGACACGGCCCAGACUUCUACGGGAGGCAGCAGUGGGGAAUAUUGGACAAUGGGGGGAACUCUGAUCCAGCCAUGCCGCGUGUGUGAAGAAGGCCUUAUGGUUGUAAAGCACUUUAAGCGAGGAGGAGGCUACUUUAGUUAAUACCUAGAGAUAGUGGACGUUACUCGCAGAAUAAGCACCGGCUAACUCUGUGCCAGCCGCCGCCGUAA
rnacentral:rRNA from 1 species